rnacentral:rRNA from 1 species
GGGGAAUAUUGCACAAUGGAGGAGACUCUGAUGCAGCAACGCCGCGUGAGUGAUGAAGGUCUUCGGAUUGUAAAGCUCUGUCUUCUGGGACGAUAAUGACGGUACCGGAGGAGGAAGCCACGGCUAACUACGUGCCAGCAGCCGCGGCAAUACGUAGGUGGCAAGCGUUGUCCGGAUUUACUGGGCGUAAAGGAUGUGUAGGCGGAUAUUUAAGUGAGAUGUGAAAUCCCCGGGCUUAACUUGGGGGCUGCAUUUCAAACUGGAUGUCUAGGGUGCAGGAGAGGAAAGCAGAAUUCCUAGUGUAGCGGUGAAAUGCGUAGAGAUUAGGAAGAAUACCAGUGGCGAAGGCGGCUCUCUGGUCUGUAACUGACGCUGAGGCGCGAAAGCGUGGGGAGCAAAC